GACGCGGUCGAGAUCGAGAGGGAGUUUGUGUGCGACGCGCUUCCGUGUGCGUUGGUGUGGAUGACCCGUGAGCUGAUGAGUCAGUAUAUCGAGUCCGUGGUGGAUAGGCUUUUGGGUGCGCUUGGGUACGGGAAGGUGUACGGUGUGGCGAAUCCGUUUGAUUGGAUGGAGUUGAUUUCGCUUCAGGGGAAAAUGAACUUCUUCGAGAAGAGAGUUAGUGACUACCAGAAAGCUUAUGUUAUGUCUAGCUUCCGUUUGAUAAUCAUUGAAACUCAUGGCUAGGUACUAUUGCCAAAUUGUGAAGCCCUUUUAGUCCUUAGCAGCCUCAAGGUUUUUUCUUCUUUCACCCAAAUUCUUGAACUUUCUGUAGAUAUUUAAUUUUGUAGCAUAGAAAGGAGCUCUCAUGUUUGGCUUUUUCUUUUUCUGUGUAAUAUAAUGGACUGAUUUGAGAUUUAAAUCUUUGAUUCUUCAGGUUUCUCUGUAUGUUGGUGGUCUUUAUAUUUGUGGAAAGGUUGGAGAUUUUGAUUUAGCUUUUGAUUUGCCUCUAUAGUUUUGAACUCUUUUCAUUAUAUGAACAUGUUUAAAAAACUUGCAGAUUGGAUGGAAAUCUGUAAUGAAAAUGGGACAAGACACACGAGAACUGUUCUUCUAUGAAACUUUUCUAUAUUACAACCCUCUCCUUCUCAUUACAAUGAUGGUUUGGCUCUGGGGUGUUAAUCUAUGGGUGUUUUCUCGAACUGGAGUCGAUUACGCAGCAAUAUUUUAUCUAGGACCAGAUCAUCAUAGUCACAAAGAGAUAUGGAAGGUAUUACAAUUCCUUAGUUACCUACCAUCUUUAUCCAAUGAUUUUCUAAAAAAUCUGAGGGUGUAACAGUGUGCUAGGUGGAUGACGACGAUAAUAUUAACUAGCAUGACUGCGUAUCUGUAUCUAUACUCGCAUGGAGAUGUGUUCUUGGCUGCUUCUCAACCAGUGUAAUAGAUGCAUCUUCUCUUAUUUUUAGAGAUAUUUUUUAUUCAUUUUGUUUUUUGACAUUUUUUUUCUGAUGUUUUCCAGAUUGUUUUGUAUCUCUCUGUUGUGAUCAUUCCCAUCACCCCUUUCGAUAUCUUCUACAAGGUAGGUUGAUCUCGACGAAAAAACAUUUCGAUCUCCUGCAGCAGAAAACGUUGAGGUACCAACCAAGACAGUGGAGGAACCCGUUGUGGUUACCGAACAGGCGGAAGAAGUCGUGGCCGCGACAGAGUCUGCUCCAGCUCCAGUCGCCGUAACUGAACAAUCCGAAGCACCAGUCGAAGGAACGAGCAAGGAAGUGGUUGUGGAAGAGGCAGAGAAAAAAGAUGAAGAAACUGAGAAGAAACCAGAGGAGCCAAAGGUAGAGGAGGAAGAAGACAAGACAGAAACUCCGGUCGUUGUGGAGGAGGCAAAA